rnacentral:rRNA from 1 species
AACUAACGCUGGCGGCGCGCCUAAUACAUGCAAGUCGAACGAUGUAGCAAUACAUAGUGGCGCACGGGAGAGUAACACGUGGAUAAUCUCCCCUCGAGAGAGGAAUAACUAGUCGAAAGAUUGGCUAAUACUUCAUAAGACCACAGAAACUAAUGUUUCAGAGGUAAAAGUCGUAAGACGCUUGAGGAUGAGUCUGCGUCCCAUUAGCUAGUUGGUGAGGUAACGGCUCACCAAGGCGACGAUGGGUAGCUGGUCUGAGAGGAUGAUCAGCCUCACUGGAACUGACACACGGUCCAGACUCCUACGGAGGCAGCAGUAGGGAAUAUUGCACAAUGGGCGAAAGCCUGAUGCAGCGACGCCGCGUGAGUGAUGAAGGACUUCGGUUGUAAGCUCUGUUGUCAGGGAAUAAAAAAUAGAAUGUACUGACGAGAAAGGACCGGCUAAC